rnacentral:rRNA from 1 species
CAGCCGCCGCGGUAAUACGUAGGGGGCGAGCGUUGUCCGGAGUUACUGGGCGUAAAGGGUGCGUAGGCGGCCCAUUAAGUCAGGUGUGAAAAACCCUGGCUCAACCGGGGUAUUGCACUUGAAACUGGUGGGCUUGAGUGCAGGAGAGGGAAGUGGAAUUCCUGGUGUAGCGGUGAAAUGCGUAGAUAUCAGGAGGAACACCAGUGGCGAAGGCGGCUUCCUGGCCUGUAACUGACGCUGAGGCACGAAAGCGUGGGGAGCAAACAGGAUUAGAUACCCUGGUAGUCCACGCUGUAAACGAUGGAUACUAGGUGUAGGGGGCGAUGAGCCUUCUGUGCCGAAGUUAACGCAAUAAGUAUCCCGCCUGGGGAGUACGGCCGCAAGGUUGAAACUUAAAGGAAUUGGCGGG